rnacentral:lncRNA from 1 species
AUGCCUACUGGGAACUAACAAUUGGUAUCAGAGCAGGUUCUCAUGCUAUAUUCAAAAGCUAAUCGCUUUGAGUCUGAUCCUAGGCACAAACAUUGUUCUAAACUUAGUUUAGUAGUAAGUCACUUCUUGUAUGCAGAUGAGCUCACACGUUGGAAAUAUUGUGUACAGGUAAAUGUGUAUAUACACCUGAAGCUGCUCAGAUUGGUCCAUGUUCUUGAUUGUCAUAUCAACAAGGCCAAUCCUUGCUCGCGGUCAAUCUUGUAGUCUGAAGAUUAGGCUAGAAAGCACAAAAGACAUCAACAGAAAAGAGUCAAACAUCCACCAGCCUAAAAAGUUGAAAAG